rnacentral:misc_RNA from 1 species
CUUCAAAGCUUAGUUCCUCAAUCACCAAACAAUUCUAGUUCUAACUCAAAACAAUUCUACUUCCUGAAGAUGAAUCGCGUCAACAGAAAACGGGUAGGCAGGCAGGGAUGCCUUAGGCAACGCCGACAACCCUUCUGCCAAACAAACUAACUUCUCUAGUGAGACUAUUGUCUCAGGUGACAAAACUAUCGGCGAGGAAGAUUGCGUGGAG